rnacentral:rRNA from 1 species
UACAGAGGGGGCAAGCGUUAUUCGGAAUUAUUGGGCGUAAAGAGCGUGUAGGCGGUCAGAUAGGUCCGUUGUGAAAACUCGAGGCUCAACCUCGAGACGCCGAUGGAAACCAUCUGACUAGAGUCCGGAAGAGGAGAGUGGAAUUCCUGGUGUAGCGGUGAAAUGCGCAGAUAUCAGGAAGAACACCCGUGGCUAAGGCGGCUCUCUAGUACGGUACUGACGCUGAGACGCGAAAGCGUGGGGAGCGAACAGG